UGAGAAGGGCAGAAAGAGAUGGCUGUUCGCAUUUGGUCUUCUUCUCCCUCUCUCCUGAAGAUGAGCGCCGCGUCGCCGCCCAACCCUCUCCCUCCUCCCUUCCCAGAUCUGCGGCCCAACACGCCCCGCCUCCUCUCCCCCCUGUUGACGGACACUGGACCUUCCGUCGUCUUACCCUGUCCAAGACCAAACUCGUCUUCUCAUCUGAAGCCGAUCUAGAUCUUGCUCUCUGACCGGUUCCCAGGCGGGCGUCCCUCUGCUUCCUGUCCUUGCACUUUGACGGGUACCCAGGUGCGUGUCCCUGUUCUUUUGCUCCGACGGCCAGCUGCCCAGAAGUUCCCCUGCUUCCUCUUCGAUUGGCAGCCAAACGGCACACAACUGCGAGCAUGGUAGCGUGUGAAGGUACAAGACGGUCUUUGCAAGACAUCAGGCUCUGCUCCAGCUAUUGAUAUCCAUUUUCAGCACUUGAAUCCGCUUGGAUCACGGCAAGACAGAUAGAAGCAGGACGAAGAGCAAUAACAUGAUAUGCACGUCGUGGUGGAAAAAUAUGGGAACAUAUUCUUACGGGUGGUCAUGGUCUGCUGGUUGAUGGGCACAAACAAGUAAUUGAGGCUCUCGCUCAAGGUCUUAAUCAGAGUUGUAGAUAUUGUAGAUACUUGGCCUGACCAACUCAAGGUCUUGACACCCCUCUUAAUCAGAGGUGUAAAUAUUUUGCCUUACUAGAGUAGCAGAUAAUUGUCCUAACCAACAACACAUGUACAUGCUGACUUAGGUGUUCUGCUAGCUGUACGAAACAUUAGCUAUGUUUACUUCUUGAAUUCUGGCUUGAAAUUGACCAUGAGUCUGUAAUUGAACAAGAAUCUGAUGUGUACAUUGAAUUUUAGCAGCAAUUUAUAAUUUUGAAUUA